AAUACCACCUUUCCAUUAUGAAACGAAAAUUUCCACGUUCAAAGAUUCGAGCUAUCAUCAAAAAGACGUGCCCAAAUGCAAGGCUUGGCAAAAAUACGGACUUAUUGAUAUUUUUAGAUUACAUGCUGUUCCUCCGGAAGUUGGCCAUCAGGGCCAAUGUCGAAGCACAAGAGAACAGAGAGAACGCCCUUUCUCCUCUUCACAUACAAAAUGUUGCCAAGGAGGUGCUCAAGGAAUUCAGAGGCUGAGAUCGAGAAGUCACCCUUUCUACCCAACAACUAACGCAGGCAGCUUGCCCCAUGGAACAUCACCAAGACACCGUCACCAUUGUUUCCAGAACGAGUUAUCAGGAGUCAACACAAAGGCAGUGCACAUAUAAAAUGGAGAUGUCCAAUGGUAGAUGCAUGUACAUGGGACUAGGUCCAGAAAUUUAGAAAUGAGGAAACACAAAAUAUCAAUGAAUC